rnacentral:rRNA from 1 species
UACGUAGGCAGCGAGCGUUGUUCGGAGUUACUGGGCGUAAAGGGUGCGUAGGCGGCGCGGUAAGUCGGGUGUGAAAUCUCGGAGCUUAACUCCGAAACUGCAUUCGAUACUGCCGUGCUUGAGGACUGGAGAGGAGACUGGAAUUUACGGUGUAGCGGUGAAAUGCGUAGAUAUCGUAAGGAAGACCAGUGGCGAAGGCGGGUCUCUGGACAGUUCCUGACGCUGAGGCACGAAGGCUAGGGGAGCAAACGGG